UACAGAGGUCUCGAGCGUUGUUCGGAUUCAUUGGGCGUAAAGGGUGCGUAGGUGGCUAGGUAAGUCGGAUGUGAAAUCCCGGGGCUCAACCCCGGAACUGCAUUCGAUACUGCCUGGCUAGAGUACUGGAGAGGAGAUUGGAAUUUACGGUGUAGCAGUGAAAUGCGUAGAUAUCAGGAAGAACACCCGUGGCGAAGGCGGCUCUCUGGGACGGUACUGACGCUGAGACGCGAAAGCGUGGGGAGCGAACAGG
rnacentral:rRNA from 1 species